rnacentral:miRNA from 1 species
CCAACCACUGGGCUGUUGUGGGUUACAACGAAAUCUUCUUUGCCCAUUGCUUUACAAAAACGGCGACAGUCAUUUUGCAAAAACAACAACAACAACAGCAACAACAGCAGCAACAAC